rnacentral:rRNA from 1 species
GUUGUAUAGUCAAGUAAUUAAGUGCAUGUGGUGGAUGCCUUGGCAGUCAGAGGCGAUGAAAGACGUGAUAGCCUGCGAAAAGCUCCGGGGAGGCGGCAAAUAUCCUUUGAUCCGGAGAUGUCUGAAUGGGGGAACCCACCUACUUUAAGGUAGGUAUUGCAACAUGAAUACAUAGUGUUGCAAGGCGAACGAGGGGAAGUGAAACAUCUCAGUACCCUUAGGAAAAGAAAUCAAUUGAGAUUCCCUCAGUAGCGGCGAGCGAACGGGGAUCAGCCCAUUAAGUUAUGUGUGUUUUAGUGGAACGCUCUGGGAAGUGCGAACGUAGAGGGUGAUAUUCCCGUACACGAAAGGGCACACAUAAUGAUGACGAGUAGGGCGAGGCACGUGAAACCUUGUCUGAAUAUGGGGGGACCAUCCUCCAAGGCUAAAUACUCCUGACUGACCGAUAGUGAACCAGUACCGUGAGGGAAAGGCGAAAAGAACCCCUGUGAGGGGAGUGAAAUAGAUCCUGAAACCGCAUGCAUACAAGCAGUGGGAGCACCUUCGUGGUGUGACUGCGUACCUUUUGUAUAAUGGGUCAGCGACUUAUAUUCAGUAGCGAGGUUAACCGUAUAGGGGAGCCGUAGAGAAAUCGAGUCUUAAUAGGGCGUUUAGUUGCUGGGUAUAGACCCGAAACCAGGCGAUCUAUCCAUGAGCAGGUUGAAGGUUGGGUAACACUAACUGGAGGACCGAACCCACUGUCGUUGAAAAGCCAGGGGAUGACUUGUGGAUAGGGGUGAAAGGCUAAUCAAGCCUGGUGAUAGCUGGUUCUCCCCGAAAGCUAUUUAGGUAGCGCCUCGGACGAAUACCAUAGGGGGUAGAGCACUGUUUCGGCUAGGGGGUCAUCCCGACUUACCAAACCGAUGCAAACUCCGAAUACCUAUGAGUACUAUCCGGGAGACAGACUGCGGGUGCUAACGUCCGUAGUCAAGAGGAAAACAAUCCAGACCGCCAGCUAAGGCCCCAAAAUCAUAGUUAAGUGGGAAACGAUGUGGGAAGGCAUAGACAGCUAGGAGGUUGGCUUAGAAGCAGCCACCCUUUAAAGAAAGCGUAAUAGCUCACUAGUCGAGUCGGCCUGCGCGGAAGAUGUAACGGGGCUAAAACUAUGUGCCGAAGCUGCGGAUNNNNNNNNNNNNNNNNNNNNNNNNAUGCUGGAGGUAUCAGAAGUGCGAAUGCUGACGUGAGUAACGACAAAACGGGUGAAAAACCCGUUCGCCGAAAGACCAAGGGUUCCAGUCCAACGUUAAUCGGGGCUGGGUGAGUCGACCCCUAAGGCGAGGCCGAAAGGCGUAGUCGAUGGGAAAAUGGUUAAUAUUCCAUUACUUCUGUGUAAUGCGAUGAGAGGACGGAGAAGGCUAAAUCAGCCUGGCGUUGGUUGUCCAGGUGAAAGGAUGUAGGCAUGUAUCUUAGGCAAAUCCGGGGUACUCUAUGCUGAGAUCUGAUAGCAAGCUGUACUUGUACAGCGAAGUGGUUGAUGCCAUGCUUCCAGGAAAAGUCUCUAAGCUUCAGUUACACAGGAAUCGUACCCGAAACCGACACAGGUGGUCAGGUCGAGUAGACCAAGGCGCUUGAGAGAACUCUGCUGAAGGAACUAGGCAAAAUGGUACCGUAACUUCGGGAGAAGGUACGCUGUUGUUGGUGAUGGAACUCGCUUCCUGAGCUGACGACAGCCGCAGAAACCAGGCCGCUGCAACUGUUUAUUAAAAACAUAGCACUCUGCAAACACGAAAGUGGACGUAUAGGGUGUGAUGCCUGCCCGGUGCUGGAAGGUUAAUUGAUGGGGUUAGCGUAAGCGAAGCUCUUGAUCGAAGCCCCAGUAAACGGCGGCCGUAACUAUAACGGUCCUAAGGUAGCGAAAUUCCUUGUCGGGUAAGUUCCGACCUGCACGAAUGGCAUAAUGAUGGCGGCGCUGUCUCCAGCAGAGGCUCAGUGAAAUCGAAAUCGCUGUGAAGAUGCAGUGUACCCGCGGCUAGACGGAAAGACCCCGUGAACCUUUACUGCAGCUUGACACUGAACUUUGACCUUACUUGUGUAGGAUAGGUGGGAGGCUUUGAAGCUGGAACGCUAGUUCCAGUGGAGCCGUCCUUGAAAUACCACCCUGGUAAUGUUGAGGUUCUAACUCUGUCCCGUGAUCCGGGACGAGGACCGUGUCUGGUGGGUAGUUUGACUGGGGCGGUCUCCUCCUAAAGAGUAACGGAGGAGUACGAAGGUGCGCUCAGCGUGGUCGGAAAUCACGCGUAGAGUAUAAAGGCAAAAGCGCGCUUAACUGCGAGACCCACAAGUCGAGCAGGUACGAAAGUAGGUCUUAGUGAUCCGGUGGUUCUGUAUGGAAGGGCCAUCGCUCAACGGAUAAAAGGUACUCUGGGGAUAACAGGCUGAUACCGCCCAAGAGUUCAUAUCGACGGCGGUGUUUGGCACCUCGAUGUCGGCUCAUCUCAUCCUGGGGCUGAAGCAGGUCCCAAGGGUAUGGCUGUUCGCCAUUUAAAGAGGUACGCGAGCUGGGUUUAGAACGUCGUGAGACAGUUCGGUCCCUAUCUACCGUGGGCGCUGGAAAUUUGAGAGGAUCUGCUCCUAGUACGAGAGGACCAGAGUGGACGAACCUCUGGUGUACCGGUUGUGACGCCAGUCGCAUCGCCGGGUAGCUAUGUUCGGAAGGGAUAACCGCUGAAAGCAUCUAAGCGGGAAGCCUACCUCAAGAUAAGAUUUCCCUAGGACUUUAUGUCCUCUAAAGAGCCGUUCGAGACUAGGACGUUGAUAGGUUGGAUGUGGAAGCAUAGUGAUAUGUGAAGCUGACCAAUACUAAUUGCUCGUGAGGCUUGACUAUACAACACCCAAGCAGUUG